rnacentral:lncRNA from 1 species
GUCAGACAACGGGGUUUUAGGUGGCCCUUGAUGUGCUUUUGAAGCAGCUCAACCUGAUCCAGCGUGGUUGGACCCACAGUCAUCCCUCCUCCAGGUCAGGAAAUCUCUCUUCCAUGUCAGGAGGUCCCUCCUGCAGGUCAGGAGGUCCCUUUUCCCUGUUCCCAUGUCAGGAGGUCCUUUUUCCCUGUUCCCAUGUCAGGAGGUCCUUCUUCCCUGUUCCCACGUCAGGAGCUUCGCUUUUGGCUGGGUUAAAAUGGUGUGAGUGGACUGUCCACCUCUUCACUCCCCAGGAAACCCCCAGGGAAUGAUGUCUGUCCUUCCUCCAGGUGGGCACACCCCGUGGUUCCCAGGCCCCUCAGCCACUCUCCCUGUGCUCCAUGCCUUGGCAUUUUUGGGGUUCCCAUCACAGGGUCAGUGGGGACGGUACGAAACCCCCGGCUGGGGCAUUUAUGAUUAUUCACCCAGUGACCAUAAUCACCAUAAGGGGAUGUCACAAGAGCCUGACAAGGGCUGCUGCCCAUAAAUCCCCCCUGAUUGGCAUUAAUUGCACCGUCCUGCUCCGGCUCUCUAUUAAUUGAGUCCCUAUCAGCUGCUCCAUUAUUCCCGGGAUCGAUGGCAGCCUGACAGCCCCGUAAUUACCUGGGGCGGCUUGUUUGCCCUUUAAAGCACCGCCACAACAGCAGCUUUCCCCAGCCCUCUGGACCCACCCAGCUCUUCAAAGGCUGAUUGAAAAUCAACAUUAAUGGCCCUGCCGUUCCCCUUGGCCGGCGGUUUGUGACGUUCCUAUUCCCAUUCCCGUUCCCGGGCUGUGGCUGAGCCGGAGCUGCCGAGCUCCACACGCCGGGUUUGACAGCUCAGCGGCCCUGGGAGGGACUGUGGCCAUGGGAAGGCUUCCAUCACCAAGCAGAGAUGCCAGCCCUGGGCUUCCUCCCGUCCAACAGCACCGAACCCCCCUGCCCUCCCCUCACCCUGCAGGCUGGCCGCUGUUGGUGGGGUCGUCGUGGCCCAGUGGUGUGAGCAAACAGCUGCUGGGGGGCACAGCACGCCCAGGAGAGGCUGGGAGCACCCAGGGAGGGAGGAGAAACCUUGUCCUCGUCCUGCUGGGCACCAAGGAACAGAAACACCACCCUUGUCCUGCUGGGGACUGAGGAAUGGAAACCCUGUCCUGAUCCUGCCGGGACUGAGCCGGGGCCAGGGCACCCUGGCAGGGCAAUGCCACCUCCACACCAGGGCAGUGCUCAGCACCCACCAGGUCCCAGACACGCCCUCUCCUGCUGUGUUUGCUGUCAAUAAACCCUGUUCUGGAAGCAGCCCCUUCCCGAGCAUUCCCUCCCUGCUUCCAUGGGCAGGAGUGGCGGCAGAGCCUGUGCCUGUGGUGGCUCACACAGCUCCAGCACCUCCCAUUUGUCUCCAUUACCUGGAAGAAAGGCACAAUGAUCCUUGUAAAGGGCCCCUUGUUGGGCCACACCACUGCUCCUUCCCAGGUUUCCUGCGCCUAAUGAAGACAAAUGAACAU